CUUCAUUGCCACUUUUUCCUCCACUCUUUAUGAGAAGGCCCCGAAAACAAGUGAGCUAGGAAGAGCAUAUCUGAACUUGGUUUAAAAAUGGCUCUGCGUGAUAUUCUGGCUCCCACUGAAAGUGGAGGGCUGCAACACAUCGGGGAUCGUCUUCUUUGACAAAGGUUGAUCAGGGAGUUGGAAAUAAUGAGAUUGAAGAUUGGAUGAAAAGUGAAUCUUGAAAAGAGACUUGUGGAUAAGACUCUCAGCAUGGGCACAGAGUGCAAGGAUAUCUAUAUCUCACGGGAAUGUUCAUCAAAGGAUACGAGGUGCAGAAGAGGCUCUCAAUAAUCAGAACAUUUUGAAAAGAGGAGAUGACAUUUAAUUCUUCAGAACCCGACAAGUUACCAGCUUCUAGGUACCAUUCUACAGCACUCAUCACACUAUAUUGGAGUCACCUAUGUACAUCCUGCCGUUCCACUGGACUAUGAGCUCUUUGAGAGGAAGACUAUUGCAUCUUUUUAUAUCCUCAAUACAAAAUACUUACUGAAUAGAUACAUGAAUGAAUGAAUGAAUGAAUGGAAUUUUCUUUACUGUACUAGGUACCAAGAAUAAAAAAUGGCUAAAGUACAGGCUCAGCUCUUGAAGACCUUAUAAUCUUCCAUAAAGGACAGAUAUAAAGAAAUAGUUAUUAAAAUAGGAGACAGGAGCACAGAGGAAGGGCACCUAAUGAGAAGGAGGAAUCCUUAUAAGUUCUUUGGGGGAAGAGUCUGGGGAACGGCCCUAUUAAAGAUUACCUGAGUGGGUCUUUGAUAGAUGAAGGGGAGAUUGUGGGGAAAAAGAACACAGUAAUUGAGGGAGAAAACACUAGUAAGCCUAUAAAGAUGAGAAACAGUGUGUUAAAUAUGGCAAAUAAUAAGCAGUUCACAUCUAAUGGAACAUAAAGGAGAGAGAUGUUUAGAGACAAGGUUGGAGAGGUGGACCAGGUCCAGCUCCUGAUCAGGAGGUUUAAGUGACGGGAACCAUUGAAAGGCUGUAAGCUGGGCAAUGGUAUGAUCAGAUACAUGUUUGAGUGGGACAAAACUAAACAAGGGUCAAGAAGGUAUUUUACUAGUUCAAGCAAGAGAUAUAGAAGGCCUGAAUUACAGUAAAUGUAGGAAAAAAGAAGGAGAAAAGCCUUCUAAAGGAAAGAUUCUUUACUCUCCUCUGAACACAUAGCCUUCUAGUUAUUAUUUUAUAACACAACACAUUGCAUUAGAGUCGACAGCAUUUAAUUGGAGUCAAACUUGAAAUUCAAUCAGGUGUAAGAGAUAGGUGAAUGGAAGAAGUCAAGAGUAUAUCCCAGGUUUCUAGCUUGGUUAACUGGAGCAUAGUGGUGUUGAGGUAGAAAAGACAGAGAUCAGUAGAUUUGGACAAAAAAAUAGGAUUUAGAAUGCUGAAGAGAUAAUGCUUAUUGAUUCAUUUCUAGACAUGCUGAGUUUGAUAUUUCUGUGAUAUGUCAAAGUAGAGGUGUUUCACAGAUAGGUGAUCGUAAAGCUGAGUAUGAAUGUGAAGUGCAGCCAAGACGUCUAGAAUUAAGAUCAAGAUAUUAGCAGCAACUGGAUGUUGAAAUUAUACCAGAUGAGAAAAAUGCAAGAAGAGAGUAUAGGACAAGAAGAUAAGUGGUCUGAAGAGAUAGCCUGGAGAAAUACCUCUAGUUAUUAGUGGAUACAAGGAGGGUUCA